AGGCCUAACACAUGCAAGUCGAACGGUAACAGGAAGCAGCUUGCUGCUUUGCUGACGAGUGGCGGACGGGUGAGUAAUGUCUGGGAAACUGCCUGAUGGAGGGGGAUAACUACUGGAAACGGUGGCUAAUACCGCAUAACGUCGCAAGACCAAAGAGGGGGACCUUCGGGCCUCUUGCCAUCAGAUGUGCCCAGAUGGGAUUAGCUUGUUGGUGAGGUAACGGCUCACCAAGGCGACGAUCCCUAGCUGGUCUGAGAGGAUGACCAGCCACACUGGAACUGAGACACGGUCCAGACUCCUACGGGAGGCAGCAGUGGGGAAUAUUGCACAAUGGGCGCAAGCCUGAUGCAGCCAUGCCGCGUGUAUGAAGAAGGCCUUCGGGUUGUAAAGUACUUUCAGCGGGGAGGAAGGUGUUGUGGUUAAUAACCGCAGCAAUUGACGUUACCCGCAGAAGAAGCACCGGCUAACUCCGUGCCAGCAGCCGCGGUAAUACGGAGGGUGCAAGCGUUAAUCGGAAUUACUGGGCGUAAAGCGCACGCAGGCGGUCUGUCAAGUCGGAUGUGAAAUCCCCGGGCUCAACCUGGGAACUGCAUUCGAAACUGGCAGGCUUGAGUCUUGUAGAGGGGGGUAGAAUUCCAGGUGUAGCGGUGAAAUGCGUAGAGAUCUGGAGGAAUACCGGUGGCGAAGGCGGCCCCCUGGACAAAGACUGACGCUCAGGUGCGAAAGCGUGGGGAGCAAACAGGAUUAGAUACCCUGGUAGUCCACGCCGUAAACGAUGUCUACUUGGAGGUUGUGCCCUUGAGGCGUGGCUUCCGGAGCUAACGCGUUAAGUAGACCGCCUGGGGAGUACGGCCGCAAGGUUAAAACUCAAAUGAAUUGACGGGGGCCCGCACAAGCGGUGGAGCAUGUGGUUUAAUUCGAUGCAACGCGAAGAACCUUACCUGGUCUUGACAUCCACAGAAGAAUCCAGAGAUGGAUUUGUGCCUUCGGGAACUGUGAGACAGGUGCUGCAUGGCUGUCGUCAGCUCGUGUUGUGAAAUGUUGGGUUAAGUCCCGCAACGAGCGCAACCCUUAUCCUUUGUUGCCAGCGGUUAGGCCGGGAACUCAAAGGAGACUGCCAGUGAUAAACUGGAGGAAGGUGGGGAUGACGUCAAGUCAUCAUGGCCCUUACGACCAGGGCUACACACGUGCUACAAUGGCGCAUACAAAGAGAAGCGACCUCGCGAGAGCAAGCGGACCUCAUAAAGUGCGUCGUAGUCCGGAUUGGAGUCUGCAACUCGACUCCAUGAAGUCGGAAUCGCUAGUAAUCGUGGAUCAGAAUGCCACGGUGAAUACGUUCCCGGGCCUUGUACACACCGCCCGUCACACCAUGGGAGUGGGUUGCAAAAGAAGUAGGUAGCUUAACCUUCGGGAGGGCGCUUACCACUUUGUGAUUCAUGACUGGGGUGAAGUCGUAACAAGGUAACCGUAGGGGAACCUGCGGUUGGA
rnacentral:rRNA from 1 species